UACGGAGGGUCCAAGCGUUAUCCGGAAUCAUCGGGUUUAAAGGGUCCGUAGGCGGUUUUGUAAGUCAGUGGUGAAAGCCCAUCGCUCAACGGUGGAACGGCCAUUGAUACUGCAAGACUUGAAUUAUUGGGAAGCAACUAGAAUAUGUAGUGUAGCGGUGAAAUGCUUAGAUAUUACAUGGAAUACCAAUUGCGAAGGCAGGUUGCUACCAAUACAUUGACGCUGAUGGACGAAAGCGUGGGGAGCGAACAGG
rnacentral:rRNA from 1 species